rnacentral:tRNA from 1 species
GGGGAUUUAGCUCAGUGGCAUAAGUGCCUGCCUUGCAAGCAGGUGGUCGUGAGUUCGAUCCCCA